rnacentral:rRNA from 1 species
UACGUAGGGGGCAAGCGUUGUCCGGAUUUAUUGGGCGUAAAGAGCGUGUAGGCGGCCAGGUAGGUCUGCUGUGAAAACUCGAGGCUUAAACCUCGAGCUGUCGGCGGAAACCAUCUGGCUAGAGUACAGAAGGGGCAACUGGAAUUCUCGGUGUAGCGGUGAAAUGCGUAGAUAUCGAGAGGAACACCUGCGGCGAAGGCGGGUUGCUGGGCUGAUACUGACGCUGAGGCGCGAA